CCUUUGACGUUAGCGGCGGACGGGUGAGUAACACGUGGGUAACCUACCUAUAAGACUGGGAUAACUUCGGGAAACCGGAGCUAAUACCGGAUAAUAUUCGAACCGCAUGGUUCGAUAGUGAAANAUGGUUUUGCUAUCACUUAUAGAUGGACCCGCGCCGUAUUAGCUAGUUGGUAAGGUAACGGCUUACCAAGGCGACGAUACGUAGCCGACCUGAGAGGGUGAUCGGCCACACUGGAACUGAGACACGGUCCAGACUCCUACGGGAGGCAGCAGC
rnacentral:rRNA from 1 species